rnacentral:rRNA from 1 species
GAUGAACGCUGGCGGCGUGCCUAAUACAUGCAAGUCGAGCGAACGGACGAGAAGCUUGCUUCUCUGAUGUUAGCGGCGGACGGGUGAGUAACACGUGGAUAACCUACCUAUAAGACUGGGAUAACUUCGGGAAACCGGAGCUAAUACCGGAUAAUAUUUUGAACCGCAUGGUUCAAAAGUGAAAGACGGUCUUGCUGUCACUUAUAGAUGGAUCCGCGCUGCAUUAGCUAGUUGGUAAGGUAACGGCUUACCAAGGCAACGAUGCAUAGCCGACCUGAGAGGGUGAUCGGCCACACUGGAACUGAGACACGGUCCAGACUCCUACGGGAGGCAGCAGUAGGGAAUCUUCCGCGAUGGGCGAAAGCCUGACGGAGCAACGCCGCGUGAGUGAUGAAGGUCUUCGGAUCGUAAAACUCUGUUAUUAGGGAAGAACAUAUGUGUAAGUAACUGUGCACAUCUUGACGGUACCUAAACAGAAAGCCACGGCUAACUACGUG